AUUGAACGCUGGCGGCAGGCCAAACACAUGCAAGUCGAACGGUAACAGGAAACAGCUUGCUGUUUCGCUGACGAGUGGCGGACGGGUGAGUAAUGUCUGGGAAACUGCCUGAUGGAGGGGGAUAACUACUGGAAACGGUAGCUAAUACCGCAUAACGUCGCAAGACCAAAGAGGGGGACCUUCGGGCCUCUUGCCAUCGGAUGUGCCCAGAUGGGAUUAGCUAGUAGGUGGGGUAACGGCUCACCUAGGCGACGAUCCCUAGCUGGUCUGAGAGGAUGACCAGCCACACUGGAACUGAGACACGGUCCAGACUCCUACGGGAGGCAGCAGUGGGGAAUAUUGCACAAUGGGCGCAAGCCUGAUGCAGCCAUGCCGCGUGUAUGAAGAAGGCCUUCGGGUUGUAAAGUACUUUCAGCGGGGAGGAAGGGAGUAAAGUUAAUACCUUUACUCAUUGACGUUACCCGCAGAAGAAGCACCGGCUAACUCCGUG
rnacentral:rRNA from 1 species